UACCGUGGCCAUGCCAACCCUGAAUGUGCCUGAUCUCGGGAGCUAAGCAGGGUCAGGCCUGGUUAGUACAUGGAUGGGAGACCACCUAGGAAUACCGAGUGCUGUAGGCU
rnacentral:rRNA from 1 species